rnacentral:misc_RNA from 1 species
UGCCCGCUGUUGUUGACUGACAAUCCUUUUUGGAGUGCACAUUAUACGAGUCAUUAUAUUAUCUACGACAUAAACAAAAGGGAGGACAAAUAAAUAAAUGAGAAACAAAUGAUAAUGCGACCAUUAUAUUAAAUAAUGCAAUAAAUGGAACUAUCAUCACUAUCAAGGGGGUAAGCAAUGUGGGAGAUAAUGUACUUGAUAAUAAUACAUGUUACAUUUACACACAUAAAAUUAAAACAUAAAA